AUGCAGAUGACGAGUCCCAAAUAGAAUAAAACGUACGUCCUGGAU
rfam:Schistosoma margrebowiei strain Zambia genome assembly, scaffold: SMRZ_contig0003456